rnacentral:rRNA from 1 species
UACGUAGGGUGCGAGCGUUGUCCGGAAUUAUUGGGCGUAAAGGGCUCGUAGGCGGUUUGUCGCGUCGGGAGUGAAAAUCCAGGGCUUAACUCUGGACUGGCUUUCGAUACGGGCAGACUAGAGGUAUGCAGGGGAGAACGGAAUUCCUGGUGUAGCGGUGAAAUGCGCAGAUAUCAGGAGGAACACCGGUGGCGAAGGCGGUUCUCUGGGCAUUACCUGACGUUGAGGAGCGAAAGUGUGGGGAGCGAACAGG